ACCAAGGAGUCUGACAUAUGUGUGAGUCAACGGGCGAGUAAACUCGUAAGGCGUAAGGAAGCUGAUUGGUAGGAUUCCCCUGAGGGGUGCACCCCCGACCGACCUUGAUCUUCGGUGAAGGGUUCGAGUUUGAGCAUACCUGUCGGGACCCGAAAGAUGGUGAACUAUGCCUGAGCGGGGAAAAGCCAGAGGAAACUCUGGUGUAGGCUCACAGCGAUACUGACGUGCAAAUCGUUCGUCUGACUUGGGUAUAGGGGAGAAAGACUAAUCGAACCGUCUAGUAGUUGGUUCCCUCCGAAAAUUCCCUCAGGAUAGCUGAGCACGCAUGCGAGUUCUAUCAGGUAAAGCAAAUGAUUAGAGUCUUCGGGGGCGCAACGCCCUCGACCUAUUCUCAAACUUUAAACAGGUAGGACGGCGCGACUGCUUUGUUGAGCCGUGCCAUGGAAUCAAGAGCUCAUAGUGGGCCAUUUUUGGUAAGCAGAACUGGCGAUGCAGGAUGAACCGGAAGCCGAGUUACGGUGCCAAACUAUGCGGUAACCUAGAUCCCACAAAGGGUGUUGGUCAAUUAAGACAGCAAAACGGUGGACAUGGAAGUCGAAAUCCGCUAAGGAGUGUGUAACAACUCACCUGCCGAAUCAACUAGCCCCGAAAAUGGAUGGCGCUUAAGCGCGCGACCUACACCCGGCCGUCGGGGCAAGUGCCAGGCCCCGAUGAGUAGGAGGGCGAAGCGGUUGCUGCAAAACCUUGGGUGUGAGCCUAGGUGGAGUGGUCGUCGGUGCAGAUCUUGGUGGUAGUAACAAAUAUUCAAAUGCAAACUUUGAAGGCAGAAGAGGGGAAAAGUUCCAUGUGAACGACACUUGCACAUGGGUUAGUCGAUCCUAAGGGUCGGGGGAACCAUGAUAGAUAGUGAAUUUCACGCGUACUCCGAAAGGGAAUCGGGUUAAAAUUCCUGAACCAGGACGUGGAAAUUGACGACAACGUUAGGAAGUCCGGAGACGUUAGUGGGGGCCUCGGGAAGCGUUGUCUUUUUUGUUUAACAUCCUGCCCACCUUGGAAACGACUUAGGAGGUAGGGUCCAGCGACUGGAAGAGCACCGUACGUUGCGUGGUGUCCGGUGCGCCCCCGACGGCCCUUGAAAAUCUAGAGGACCGAAUGUCGUCCAUGCUCGGUCAUACUCAUAACCGCAUCAGGUCUCUAAGGUGAACAGUCUCUGGUU
rnacentral:ncRNA from 1 species